rfam:Phytophthora infestans T30-4 supercont1.4 genomic scaffold, whole genome shotgun sequence.
UCUCCUAUAGCUCAGUUGGUAGAGCGUGCGGCUGUUAACCUCAAGCUCGCUGGUUUAAACCCAGCUGGGAGAG